CCUACGGGUGGCAGCAGUGGGGAAUAUUGGGCAAUGGGCGCAAGCCUGACCCAGCAACGCCGCGUGAAGGAAGAAGGCUUUCGGGUUGUAAACUUCUUUUGUCAGGGACGAAGCAAGUGGCGGUACCUGACGAAUAAGCCACGGCUAACUACGUGCCAGCAGCCGCGGUAAUACGUAGGUGGCAAGCGUUAUCCGGAUUUACUGGGUGUAAAGGGCGUGUAGGCGGGGAAGCAAGUCAGAUGUGAAAACCACGGGCUCAACCUGUGGCCUGCAUUUGAAACUGUUUUUCUUGAGUGCUGGAGAGGCAAUCGGAAUUCCGGGUGUAGCGGUGAAAUGCGUAGAUAUAUGGAAGAACACCAGUGGCGAAGGCGGCCGCCUGGCCUGUUACUGACGCUGAGGCACGAAAGCGUGGGGAGCAAAUAGGAUUAGAUACCCUUGUAGUC
rnacentral:rRNA from 1 species